UAGUCCUACGGGGGGCAGCAGUGGGGAAUAUUGCACAAUGGGGGAAACCCUGAUGCAGCAACGCCGCGUGAGUGAAGAAGUCAUUCGUGAUGUAAAGCUCUAUCAGCAGGGAAGAAAAUGACGGUACCUGAGUAAGAAGCCCCGGCUAACUACGUGCCAGCGGCCGCGGUAAUACGUAGGGGGCAAGCGUUAUCCGGAUUUACUGGGUGUAAAGGGAGCGUAGACGGUGCAGUAAGCCUGAUGUGAAAGGUCGGGGCCCAACCCCGGGACUGCAUUGGAAACUGUU
rnacentral:rRNA from 1 species